rnacentral:misc_RNA from 1 species
UACCCUCAAUUCUUCACAUUUUUUAAUGUGCAUGAAUUGGAUGUGGAGGUUUUUGCCGGUGUUCACCACCGGCUCCUCUUAAAUGUAUUAGUGUGAAUGUUUACCAAACGUUCCUCAGUGUGAUAAUUGUCUACGCUGUGGUAGUGAGGUUCCAUUAAGUUCAUGCUUCUAAUCGUCCUUCAUUGGACAACAAUUUUUGAC